CCUACGGGAGGCAGCAGUGGGGAAUAUUGGACAAUGGGGGCAACCCUGAUCCAGCCAUGCCGCGUGAGUGAUGAAGGCCUUCGGGUUGUAAAGCUCUUUUGGCGGGGACGAUGAUGACGGUACCCGCAGAAUAAGCCCCGGCUAACUUCGUGCCAGCAGCCGCGGUAAGACGAAGGGGGCUAGCGUUGUUCGGAAUUACUGGGCGUAAAGCGAGUGUAGGUGGUUGUCCAAGUUGGGUGUGAAAGCCUUGAGCUUAACUCAAGAAAUGCACUCAGGACUGGAUGACUAGAGGACCGGAGAGGAUAGUGGAAUUCCCAGUGUAGUGGUGAAAUACGUAGAGAUUGGGAAGAACACCAGUGGCGAAGGCGGCUAUCUGGACGGUUUCUGACACUAAGACUCGAAAGCGUGGGGAGCAAACAGGAUUAGAUACCCUGGUAGUCCACGCCGUAAACGAUGGGUGCUAGACGUUGGCGAGCUUGCUCGUCAGUGUCGCAGCUACGCGUAGUCACCCGCCGUGGAGGUACGGCCGCGAGUAGAACGUACAAGAAGUAGACGCGNGAGACGNGCCGACGACGACGACGAGGGAGUAGG
rnacentral:rRNA from 1 species